rnacentral:misc_RNA from 1 species
AACGCACCUUGCGCUCCUUGGUAUUCCGAGGAGCAUGCCUGUUUGAGUGUCAUGUAUUCUUCAGCCCAUCUGGAUUUUUUCUGAAUGGAGCUGGAAGUGGAGGUUGCUGGCCUUUUUUGAUUUAAAUGUCUGCUCCUCUUAAAUGCAUUAGUGUGAAUGUUAUCAAAUGUUCCCCAGUGUAAUAAUUUAUUUGCAUUGUUGGUGCUUUUGAUGGUUUAUCUGUUCAUACUUCUAAACAGUCCUUCAAUUGGACAAUAUAAUUUUGCAUUUGACCUCAAAUCAGGUAGGAUUACCCGCUGAACUUAA